rnacentral:rRNA from 1 species
UACGUAGGUGGCAAGCGUUGUCCGGAUUUACUGGGCGUAAAGAGCGCGCAGGCGGUUGGCUAAGUCGGAUGUGAAAGCCCCCGGCUUAACUGGGGAGGGGCAUUCGAUACUGUUCAACUUGAAGGCAGGAGAGGGCAGCAGAAUUCCCGGUGUAGUGGUGAAAUGCGUAGAUAUCGGGAGGAAUACCAGUGGCGAAGGCGGCUGCCUGGCCUGUUCUUGACGCUGAGGCGCGAAAGCUAGGGGAGCGAACGGG